rnacentral:lncRNA from 1 species
CUCCUCAAGCGUUCAUUCAACUCUUCAUCCACCUUGAGGAAAUCCACAAGGAGAUUCUUCAUUUGAGUAAAGUGCAUUUAAUGUUAUAUUCGCUCAUUUAAGGAGCUAUUCUUGUACUUAUUUAUGCUCUAAACUGUCUUACUCUUUGUGAGUAAUUGUUCUUGUUUUUGGAGGGUUUCCAAAAUAAGAGAAGGUUGAUCCGAACCU